rnacentral:lncRNA from 1 species
AGGGAGAGAACGAGAGACACUCGGAGACGGAGUGGCGGCGCGUGACAGCAAUAAAUAACUCUGUGAUUUACCGGGAGCGCAAGGGACGAUUCUGCUCAAGAGAAUGCGCGUGAAUCGACGGAGAAUCAAUACCCUACGGUUCACUAGGUUCCUGAGAUUGUUGGUUCGAGCGAUCUUGACGCAGGAUUGAGCCAUUUCGAUUGAUUAAGAGAAGAAGGGAAAAUAUAAAGUAGAAGGAAGAAGAAGAAGAUGCAGAAUCAGGAAGAUCUGGUGAUGGCCAGAGAGAAGCUGAUUGAUUCCAUUUUGGCCAUGAAAGAAAAAGGAAAGAAAGGAGAGAGAGGUAAUAUACGGAAAGCUUUCUAGGUUUCUGUGUUUCCUCCUCUUUUUCGGAGGGGACGACACUUCAAAGCUUUUUUUCAAAAUAUUAUUUGUUAUUUUUUAUUGAUUUUUUUGACACAUGUGUGGGGGGGCAACGAGAUGAGAGAGAGGUGGAGAUUUCUUGGAUGUGACGACCACAAAUCACAUUACACAUUUUCGGGCCUACGUUGACCUUUAAUUUUAAUUAGUCAUAUGCAUUCUAAUCUAAAUUACAGAUCUAUAGUAUAUCUUAACUUAUAAGAUAUUGAUAGAUAUAUUAAUAAUAUCAUAUUAUGUAUGUACAUAGAGAUAGAGAUAUCCGUACAUAAUAUGUAUUUGGAAAAUGUAAUUUGAUAUGGUUAUUAAUCACCCUAUAACAUAUACAUUAUGCAUUAGCGCCAGAAUUGAUUAAGUAUACCAAGUAGCUUAUUAAUUAAAUUUGAAGCCGGGACGGCUACGAGUUCAUGUAAUAAACUGUGCCAAACAUUUGGUCACUUUCUAAUUGAUAUGUAAGACCACAUAUAAAUAUAAUUUUGAAUAUAGAACGUACGUAUAAUUUAAUAAAUAUGUGAGAUUGAUGAAUUCUAUUGGCCCUCAACUUUCUAAUUAUAUUAGAAAUUGGAUCGUUGACGGUAAUAAUUUCACACAUAUAAUCUUAUCAUAUCUACAUUAAACGAAAUUUAAGUUGUGGUUACCAUCCAUAUAGUCUGCCAUAAGGUCUACGCAUAGUCCUUAUAUAUAAACAUACAUAUAUACACACACACAUAUAUAUAUAAGUUAACCUAGAUAUAACUCUCUCAAAACUUUUUAGACAUAUAAAUAAUCGCGUGUAUUUAAAAAAAGCUUUCGUAAGUUUUAUGAGAUAGUAAGUUACAAAAAAAAAGUUUUAUGAGAUAGUAGCUCUUAGAUAUGUUUACAAACAUAUACGUUGUGUACUUCACAAAUAUCCCACCAAUAUGCACUUAUACAAACGUAAACUACAUAUUUUAUUAAGCACAUACAUAUUAAGAUGUACACACAUCAAGCGAAUAUAUGCAAGAUGGGGUACAUACAUAAACACCACCAAAUUUACAAGGGUUUACUAGAAUUGCUCAUCAUUCAGAAGCGGCCAUUGAAAUUACCCAACAUGGAAAUAGGGACGACGCAUAAUCCUCUAGUCCUCAAGUCCAUAUUAUUACUGUUACUGUUGUUUCCUUCUCUGAGAUUCCUCAUCAUCGUCAGCUUUUGUUCAUCUCCUUCUUGGAUUUGGAUUUGAUGAUCCCCCAUGCCUCUCAUAUUUCCCUAUCAAUACCGUAUCGCAAACAUCUUUACGUGUUACAUCCAUCGAAUAUAAUGUAAAGAUUAUUAAUACGAAAAGAUCAUAUACCUUCCUUAUAACUAGACAAACAAAGCUUAUCUAAUAAUACAGGACCAAGUCUGUCUUAAUAAACUAAUAUUAUGCAAAAUGAAUCUUCUCUAUCUUUUCCGUUUGGGUUAUAAAUGAAAUUAAAUUCAAGUUGAUAUAUAGGUGGACACAUAAAUUUAUAUGUAUGAAAGAAAGCAUAGAGAUUACCAUAACGAAACUAGAAGAGACAUAGUCCUCAUGUUUUCUAGGAGGCGUCUGAAUAUGUUCAAUCUGACUGACCUGUUCAAUAUUAUUUAUAUAAAAUUAUACAUUUGCUAUAACUACUACAAAGGGAGAUUCUACAAGAGGAGAAUAAUAAUAAAAGGAUAAAGUAAUUAUUGGAGGUAACUGACUCAUAAUCAAUCAUAUUUUACAAUUAAAUUAAAAUUAUAAUUUUUUCUAUAGAUUUGCACCAAAAAAGAAAAGCAAAAGAAAAAUUUUGGAUUAAAAUUUCAAUCAUGGAUCAUGUUUUAAUUGGAUUACGUUAAGUAGUAUCUAACCUUAGGGCUAUUAACCGGAGAGCUAGCUGUAUCCUCCAAAGAAUCAUCCUCACAAAUCUUUUUGGUUCUUGCCUUCCCAAACUUCAAUUUCACCGGAAAAUUAACUGGAAAACUCCGGCCAGAAAAUGCGUCAGUGGCGGCGUCGGAGACCAGAGAAGGAGAGGCGUCCAGAAUCGAACACGAACUCUUAUCUUGAUGAUCGUUAUCUUCAGGAUGAGUUCUGUAUUGAUUUGAGAAAUCUUCAAGAUAAGUUGUCCAUCCACUCUCCUCUUGCUGAACACCAUCAUGAUGAUCAUGAUCAGGAUCAUCAAUAUCAGUAUCAUUAUCGUGACGGUCGAAAGGAGCGUGAUUUUGUUCAUAAGAAUUACAAGAGAAUGUAUCCAUCAUGUGGAGAAAGGAGGAAUAAACCAAAAUAAAAUGGAAUAAUUCGUAAGUGGUUGCGUUUGGUAUGUAUAUAUAUUAAGGUCGUUAAAUUUUCGUGAUAUAUAAAAAAGGAGAAAUAAAACUAAUUGGAGAGACAGUAAUCGGAAUCUUGAUGUGGUCAUCACAUGGGUCCCAAAGCGUUGAUCAAAAUAUGGAGAACUAAAAGCCAACGAUGGACCUCUGUAGAAGUGUGACAUUAAGCUAUCUAUAGGAAAUAUGUUCCACCAUACAAAAGUGAAAUAUAAGUCCAUUUUUAUUUUUCGAAAUGAAAAACAUUUUGCAUAUGUAAACAAAUACGCAGAUUUACAGUCGUGGACCGAUCGGUAGAAAGUGGGUAAUACAUAACGAGACCAUACAAUCAUAUAAGUAGGAAACAAAACAUUUAUAUUUGUUCUUUCAAAAUUAGGAUAUUGCUAAACUUAAGAUUUGUAUGAUUUUAUUCCUUCAGUGAUGUUUUAUCAAAUAGUUUUGACCCAAAAAUAAGCUUAAAUGUGAUCUGGCCCAACUUAUCGUUGAUUUGCAGGCAUUUCUUUAUUAUUAGUUGAGACAUAGCUUUCCAACAAACUCAUUUACGCAAUGGUAGAAUAUAAACUAUACAUUAUGUGUCUGUCUGCAGAAAAAAAAAACUAUUUGUAAAGUGCGUUAUGAUAAUCGAAGCAAACGUAGACAACAACAAAUUUAAACUACGAUUAGUGCAAAAACGAAAUUUCUAAAUAAAAAUAGAAGCCAUAGAGGGUUGGUUAGCGUGAAAAGUAAUUCAAACGGCUGAUUUCGUUUUGACAAAUAUCCUCUAGGAACGCUAUCAUGAUGUGGCUAUCUGAUUUUUUGAAAGAAUAAUUAAAUAGUUAAACCUAAAUUGUUAAAGUGGAGCAGUUGAUGUAUCAGUUAUUAAUAUUUAACCCUAAUACAAACCAAAAUAAAAGAGAGAAGGAAUGUCAUGUAUGUUCGUUGAACUUGACCACUUUUGAUGUUGCGUGAGAAUGGCAAACGCCAAAUGAAGUAGACCUUUUUGUUUUAUCGUUUAGCCGUUACAGAACGAUGACAAUUGAAACUAUUGGACGUGAUGUGCAAAAACAUGUGAAGAUGGGAUACGAUGAGAGCUCGGUAAUUUUGAAAAUAGUAUAUAGAUUUGUAAGCUUAAAAAUGGAGCACUUUUAUAAGUAGAUUUUUGCAAUGUACAAAAAAAUCAUUAAAUGUUAAUUAGAGCAUCUCCAAAAAAAUUCUCUAUUUUAAUGUUUUAUAACUCUAUAAUCGAAAUUUCAAGGUGUUUUUCUCCUAAUCAAAACUUCAUACUUAACUUCAAAAUUAUUUGUAUUUUACACUAUGAUCUUUAAAUUUAUCAUACUAAUGUAAAUCCAUAAAAAAUUAUAAAUAACUAGCACAUAUAUAAGAAUAUUACAGAAAUAUCAAUUAAUAAAAUCUUACACUAAAAUAUAAAAUUAUAAAUCAAAAUACAAUUAAAUAUUAAAUCUCCAAGCAAAAUACCAUAUUAUUUCAUAAAAUUAUUUUCGUAAUGUUCUAUUUUCGGUUACAAAAACAUUGUUUGGACAAUAUUUUGGAGAUUUUGGAGGUUCCAGAGUAAAUUUACAAGAUUAUUGGUGAUUAUUGGUGUUGUUGUAAUAUUUGAAUUUAUGCAAUAAUUAUGUCUUCAUGUAUCUUUUUUUAAAAAAAAAUUAGUAAGUUUUUUUGUAAUAUUCUUAUUGUCUAAUUAUAGUUUUAAAAUAUUGUAAAACUAGUGUCUAAUUAUAUUUAUUAGAUAUAGUGUAAUCAAGUAUACUCUAUAACUUUGUUUUGAAUUGUAUAGAUUUAAUAACCAAAUUAAAAAAUGUUUUCCUAAUUUUCACUUUAGUUAAACACAAACUAUAUUAUGAAAUAAAGUGAAUAGUAACGAACAAAAUUAGUUAUUUAUACAAACAAUUCCCUCAAAGAAAAAAAAUUAUUUUUUUUAAGAAGAAAGAAAAAAAAAUUAGUUUAGAUUGAAAAUUUGAGAAAUCUGAAUUUUACUUUGGAAACCCUCCAAUCCUCGAAUAAAUUAACACCAUGCCUCAAAGUCAAAGAAACACACAUUCUUAACUACAACGUACAUAAAUUGUCCAGCUCCUCACUUGACAGCAUCAACUCUGUAGUCUAUUUAGGUUAAGAAAAAAAAAACUCAAGCGAAAUGAUAUUUACUAGUAUUUAGAAUUUGCUGGAACCAAAAUUCUCCAGCGGUAAUCGAAUGUGGAAACAUUACAAAGUGAAUAAGAAAAAUCCACAAUACCCCUCUCUCUUUUUCUUAUCAUGUUCCUUUUCUCUCGAUACCAUUUUUUCUCUGUUUUUCCUUUUUUUGUUUAUUGAAAAAAAAAACAGAAGAAAGCGGGCGAAAUCUCCGCCUCAUCUCUCCAUUUCGCUUUAAAAACGGCUAGAAACUGUGCUCCAAUCAACCCCACGGCGGUGAAUGAAACAAAAGAAACUAUCAUCGGAUUCACUUGUUUUAUAUUAGAUAUAUCUACAAAUAGGUUUUGGAAGAUGCUAGUAGUCGAUGAUUGGUUCUCCGAUGGUGAGAUUUCUCUCCACUGUCCAUGGUAAGUCGAAGAGCUUCGCGGUCACAAACUUGAAGAUCUUAUUUACGUUUAUGUUGUAAGAAGCACUCGAGAAGAAGAGAGUCGCGUUUAGCGCCUUGGCAUAGGUUCUCGCCUGGCUAGCAAUAGUCCAUUGCAGAUCGAUAGGGAGCUGAAUAAACUCAUCAAACUUUGUUCCUACCAUAACUGGAAUCGCGGUCUGCAUAGAAAACAUAAAGUGUUUUAUUAAGGAGAGACCGAAGCUGCCGUAUGCAUAAAGACAUUGUUAUAUAUAGAGAGAGAUCAAACUGAGAAUGUUAUUAGUGUUGUCUUAGAAUCCCACCUGAUUAGACCUUCUAGCUUGUUGAUACCAGCUAAUCACACUGCAUAAUCAUAAAAAUAAGAAGAAGCUUUAGCUUUUAAUUAAUCAAAAGUUACAUGUUGAUAAGGCUGAACAGUAAUUGUAGUACUUGUUAAGUGUGCAACGACUGGUGAGAUCGAACAUGAAGAGAAUGGCUACAGAGUCCUUGCAAGCCAUGGGGACUAGAUCCCGUGAUUUCUCAGCUCCUGUUUGAUUAACAUUCUAGUUAACCUCCAAUGAUUGCAAUGGAUUUAACAUUUAAUUGGUUGUUAAGAAGAAGAAAGAAGAUUAACCUUGUAACUCCCAGAUACUGUAGGAAAUACGAGCUCCUCCCAUGGAUAACGUCUUGUCCGUACAAUGGAUCCCUUUCUCCAAUUCUCUCAUUUCAACUUGUUUCUCUCCACCAACAUACUUCGCCUUCACAAUCAAAAUCAACCAAUUCAAAUAAUCAAUAUUAUUGUUUGUUUUCUUAAAUUUUAAUGUAUGUAAGUUAAUCAUUUUAGCUAUUAAUUUUUUUAAAUUUUGUGAUUUGCUAGUGAUCAAUGCAAAAAUGCAGCAACAUGUAAACAAACAUGACCAAUUAACCAUAAAUUUAAAAACCAGUAAUGACGUAGAGAGAUCGAAUGUGUAUAUGUAAAACUAACUAACCAGGAAGCAAGUUUUUCCGAUCUCGGGAUCUCCUAAGAGGCUUAUUUUUAGAGAAACCAGAUCAGAGUCCGAUCUCCGGUUGCUGCCAUCGUGGUUAUGUACCGAUGUGCGGCGUGCGACCUCACCUUCAACGGCGGGGACCGGAGGAGGGAGAGAACGAGAGACACUCGGAGACGGAGUGGCGGCGCGUGACAGCAAUAAAUAACUCUGUGAUUUACCGGGAGCGCAAGGGACGAUUCUGCUCAAGGGAAUGCGCGUGAAUCGACGGAGAAUCAAUACCCUACGGUUCACUAGGUUCCUGAGAUUGUUGGUUCGAGCGAUCUUGACGCAGGAUUGAGCCAUUUCGAUUGAUUAAGAGAAGAAGGGAAAAUAUAAAGUAGAAGGAAGAAGAAGAAGAUGCAGAAUCAGGAAGAUCUGGUGAUGGCCAGAGAGAAGCUGAUUGAUU